CAGAAAUGUCUGCAGAAACAUCAUUUAGAUCCAGCUAAGGUGUAUCCUCACCAGCAGGGGAGUGCCCUCUAACAUUUCUGUAAUAAGCGUUGAUUCUUGCAGAGUAUGAUGGCAGACCAAAAGAGGAUCCUGACUCAUCGUCUCUCCCAGCAUUGUAUUUCCUAUUGCUAAUGCUGAAGAUGGACAAAUGGACCAGCAGUUCGACCCAAUGAGGUAGGAAUGGAUGAGAGAGACAUUUCACCAAAUCUGAAACUCCAGGACAGUGAAGCCAAACCUGGGGUUAGCAAUAAUGGCAUCCCCAUCACCACUGCAGAGCCGUAAAGGCCUCAUGGAGGGAAGGCAUCAUUGCAAAUACAGAUAUAUAAAUCCCGCAGCUUGAGGAAAGUUAAUAUUUUCACAGACACGUCCUUUAUGUUUUACAGGUACUGAAAGCAACUGGGUCAGGUGUACUGCACACUUAAAAUACGCAAUGAGGGUGAGUGGGGUGUAGAGAUAUGUGUAAUUCCGCUGCAGAAUCAAGAGACUGCUGUCACGCCGCUCACUAAUUAUCUUCACUCCUUGCAAAAGUUAGUUGGUCUUUCUAGUUCUCUGACUGAGCUGUUCAUUCCAACACCUCCUAAUAGGUUUUAGUCAAAAAGAAACAUUACCUUUCUAAGUUUGAACGAUAGGACUUUGCUGAUCCAGUUGAUUUUAACUGAACUGAGCAUUCCUACAAGCAGCUCUGCCAACAGCCAAAAUGCAGUAACCUCGGCUGUGGCAGCUGUGACAUCUCCUCGCAGGUAAGUGCUACCAAGGAGCGGUAGUGCACCUUACGUUCAGUGCUAAGAGACGGCAAACACUAGCACCUACCACCUUUCAGCGCUGCCUCCUCCCAGCCAUGUGUGCUAUUCGCUUCUGUUUCAGCCUACAACAGGAAUUCACAGCUGUUACUUAAGGCACUGCCAGAGGAGGGCAUGAGCAGUCACACUGGACAGAAGUCUUUGCUGGGACUUACCCAGCUCUACACGAGACUGGUGCAAAGCUGUAAGCCGUUUUUUCACCUCUAUCGCAAUAUGUAGUCAAAGUGGUUAACGGAAACCAUCAAACUUAAGUAACAUGAUUAGGUUUUAGUCUUGGAACAACACAGAUCUUUAUCUGCGCAAGAGCCAUACACAAAUACCAGCUAAAAGACAAACUUACAGACAAAGCUAAAGGUUGUGCCUGUCUGCGUUCUCGUAACUGCUUGAGCCGCGUACCACCAGGUUAAAGUGGAGACCUCAGACUUGGGUCACAAACACAGCAUAUCUAGUACUGUCUUCAAGCAUUAAAAUCCUUUUGGGCAUGAAACAACUGUGCUUAGUCAUAAUUCUUCCCUUUCCAUUCUGGCAGUGAUUUCUAUUGAGGAUUUUUCAAGUUGUCUUACAUGUGUUUUUAGUUUCACAGCAGCACAGCAACAAGGAGAGUUUUUCACUGCAUUUAAAUUCAGGCAACUGCUGAAAGGUCUCCUUUACUAUCAACACUCUCCUACCUCUUCACUUGCAAGCUUGAGCCCACAGGAGGAGUUGGCUGAUUCACUCAUCUGAUGAUAGAAAAUUAAUCCCCUCUUCCCUCCCACAUGCCAAGAAGUGUAGUUUCUGUCAUCAGUGAGCUGAACCAGCUCAACCUCCAGGGGAUCUAGAUAAAGGCAAACGAUAUAGGGAAGAGGGAAGGGAAAAGAGACUUGGCAGCAUCUCAGAGUUGCAUCAGAUUAGAUAUGACAUGAAACUACAUCUAGGCAGAGCCCUGAAAAAAUGCUUGAUGAUAUUACAGGUGAAUAUUCUGCAUUUUUUUCUGCAUUACCUUCAAAAUUAAUGUCUACUUGAUGCUGUUAUAUUUUUUCACAGGCCUUUGAGGUGGAAAUGUAUCUGUUAGCGGCAUAAAACUCAAACGUUAGCUGCUAUCUAAAAGUAAUUAGCUGAACCACAUUUGUCUAUUCCUGCGAUUACAUUUAGAAUCACUUUGCUUAUUUACACAUCCUUAAGCCCUUUAAAUGCACACAAACAGCUUUAAAUAACCAAGUGUCUAGAUAGGUUACAGCAAGUUGUAACAGGUGGUAACUGGAAGAAAACACUGUGUGGAAUGCACUUUUUUUUAUUGCUAAAAAGCUCUAUUUUCAUCAGUUGUUCCGGAUUCUCAGCUAAUACUACACUAAAUGCUACAUAAUGUGCUGAAUCAUAAUUCUUACUGCAAACCUAGCUAUUAAACUUCGGACUAUUUUUUAUCCCAAACGGUAUAUCAAUGGUAGAUUUUAGCAUUUAAGAAAACUUAAAUUUCAUCUAUUGAGACACCUUCUUCAAAAGCAGUUCCUGAAUCAAAUAUAAUUUAACCUUAUUAAAAUUUCUUUAAUCUCCUUAACUACAGGUGAAGUGAGAAGCAUCAAAAAGUUGUCAGUCCUAGAAGCUACUGAUGUACCUCUAAGCUGUUAUACACAUUUAUACAUAAAUUGAUUUAAAAUGAGACAGAACAAAAUUGAAGAGGAUUGUUUGCUCCAAAAAGGAUAAUCUGUAUUCCUCCCUGAAGAGUUAAAUGUUAAUGAACCUUAAAAUAAAUUCAUGAUCUGAUGAUCUAAAACCAAGAGAAAGGGAAAAUUUCACCUUAGAAAUCAGGUGAACUAUUGUGAGGAAAGUAGAUUUUUUUUCCCCCUCUCUGAAGCCAUCAAAGAUUCUGCUUUACCAUUGUUCACCAAAAUUCAUUAGUCUGAAAUUGUCACAGAUGUUGAAUUAACGGGGAAAUAUGUACACUGUAUAACAGCUAGGUAAAAAACUGCUGG